rnacentral:rRNA from 1 species
UACGAAGGGGGCUAGCGUUGUUCGGAAUUACUGGGCGUAAAGCGUGCGCAGGCGGCUUCUCAAGUCAGGGGUGAAAGCCCAGAGCUCAACUCUGGAAUUGCCUUUGAGACUGAGUGGCUUGAGUACGAGAGAGGUGAGUGGAAUUCCCAGUGUAGAGGUGAAAUGCGUAGAUAUCAGGAGGAACACCUGUGGCGAAAGCGGCUCACUGGACCAUAACUGACGCUGAUGCACGAAAGCUAGGGGAGCAAACAGG